ACUGCCCCUAGAUCCAUGGCGGGCAUGGCAUCAGUAGGUGCAUCAGAAGGUGGCAGAGUGGAAGAAGAUAUGUCAACACUCAGUAUUCUGACCUGUAAACAUCUGAAUGAUUAAUAGCCCAAUAAA
ensembl:snoRNA LOC120103337 small nucleolar RNA SNORA17